rnacentral:rRNA from 1 species
CCUACGGGUGGCAGCAGUGGGGAAUAUUGCACAAUGGGGGAAACCCUGAUGCAGCGACGCCGCGUGAGUGAAGAAGUAAUUCGUUAUGUAAAGCUCUAUCAGCAGGGAAGAAAAUGACGGUACCUGAGUAAGAAGCCCCUGCUAAAUACGUGCCAGCAGCCGCGGGAAUACGUAGGGGGCAAACGUUAUCCGGAUUUACUGGGUGGAAAGGGAUCGUAGACGGUAGUGCAAGUCUGGGGUGAAAGGCGGGGGCUCAACCCCCGGACUGCUCUGGAAACUGUACGGCUGGAGUGCAGGAGAGGUAAGUGGAAUUCCUAGUGAAGCGGUGAAAUGCGUAGAUAUUAGGAGGAACACCAGUGGCGAAGGCGGUCUGCUGGACAGCAACUGACGGUGAGGCGCGAAAGCGUGGGGAGCAAACAGGAUUAGAUACCCGUGUAGUC